rnacentral:rRNA from 1 species
UACGUAGGGUGCAAGCGUUGUCCGGAAUUAUUGGGCGUAAAGAGCUCGUAGGCGGCUUGUCGCGUCGGCUGUGAAAACCCGGGGCUCAACCCCGGGCCUGCAGUCGAUACGGGCAGGCUAGAGUCCGGUAGGGGAGACUGGAAUUCCUGGUGUAGCGGUGAAAUGCGUAGAUAUCGAGAGGAACACCUGAGGUGAAGACGGGUUGCUGGGCCGACACUGACGCUGACAGCGCGAAAGCCAGGGGAGCAAACGGG